CUUAGACAACACAGACUUCAGAUUUCAAAUACAUUCUUGAACUUUUAUUUCUCCCAAAAGCCAUGCUCUGUGAGUUUCAACAAUCACAAUAUUGUCUGAACGGCCUAUCUUUGAAUCUUACUCCCUCUACGUGUCCCUGGAGACAGUGGGAAGCCUGUGGCCUGCUCUGAAAAGCCGCAAUACUUACUUCUUGUGUGAGUCGUCUGGUGAAGAAAGGAUUCAAAU